rnacentral:rRNA from 1 species
GAUGAACGCUGGCGGCGUGCUUAACACAUGCAAGUCGAGCGGUAAGGCUCCUUCGGGAGGUACACGAGCGGCGAACGGGUGAGUAACACGUGAGCAAUCUGCCUUCACUUCGGGAUAACUCGGGAAACCGGUGCUAAUACCGAAUACGACCACUUCACGCAUAGUGAAUGGGUCGGUGGAAAGUUCCGGCGGUGGAGGAUGAGCUCGCGGCCUAUCAGCUUGUUGGUGGGGGUAAAUGGCCUACCAAGGCAACGACGGGUAGCCGGCCUGAGAGGGUGACCGGCCACACUGGGACUGAGACACGGCCCAGACUCCUACGGGAGGCAGCAGUGGGGAAUAUUGGACAAUGGGGCGAAAGCCUGAUCCAGCAACGCCGCGUGAGGGAUGACGGCCUU